AUGUCAGGAGGGGAGGAAGCGGAGUAGCAAAGCCAACGAGCCUACGAACAGAAACCGGAUAUAAGGCUAAACGGAGGGUAAGGUUGCCGAACAAACUGAAGCCCGAAAGGUAAGCGUAAAACCGAAGCAGUAAAUCCGGAGGUUGUGCGGCGAAAGAAU
rnacentral:ncRNA from 1 species